GGGUUUAGAAUUUAAGGUUUAGGGUAUAGCUGCGUUAGCGUCGUUAAAAUUAACAUUUUUAUUUUUUUUUAGCUAUUUUUUAUUUAAUUUAAUGUUUUUUAAUUAAUAAUCUACGUGACACUUUAAUUGGUCUUUAAGAGUGGGGUGAAUUUAAAGGUAACCUAAGUUUUGUUCUUUUUGUUUUGUUUUGGAAGUAUAAUAGGAUAGUUGAAAGUGUAGGAGGAGUGAAAGAUGUGAAAGAAGGAGACUAUGUGAUUCCCACUUUCAAUGGAGAAUGUGGUGAAUGUAGAGUGUGUACGAAUGGAGUAAGUAAUCUCUGUGAGAGAUAUAAAGUGGAUCCAAUGAAAAGACUGAUGGUUAACGAUGGAGGGACGAGAUUCUCAACCACCACAAACAAAGACGGUGGUUCGAGCCAGAAGCAACGCGUUUAUCACUUCCUUAACACAUCCACGUUCACUGAAUACACCGUCUUGGACUCGGCUUGCGUCGUCAAGAUCGAUCCUAAUGCUCCUCUCAAGCAAAUGAGCCUCUUGAGCUGUGGUGUCUCCACUGGUUAGUUAUAUCUCUCAAAUAGAAAACUAGAAGCAUAAAUUGGGUCCAUAUGAUCUUAAGCAUUGAUGAUUCUUUUAUGAGAAAUGACUUGUAAUGACUCUAAUCAUUCAUGUUAUUACUAGACUAACUCUUAUAAUUUUGUAAUUAUUAGAACAAUACAUCUAUCAAGCAAAUGUACACAAAACACCCUGUCUAAUAUAUUUUUUUUAAUAGAACUUCUCUUUUUCUCAAUAUGGGAGAAAACAGAUGCUUCAUCUCAAUCAUAUUCUGAUUCACCUAGAUAACCCUAAAUUGUCAUCCUCUUCGUCACGUCCACCUCUGCCUGCACUUUCUCCGUCAUCUCUACCUCAGGUCUGCGAUCACCUCCCUCACCUUCUCCAACUACUUCUGUAGCGAUUCGUAAACCACACAUUCAUCAUUGGAGAUCUCUAAAUCUCUUUACAAGAUAACCUUUGAAUCUGUAAGUCAUGAAUCUUUGGUAAUCCAAUUAAUUUUGUCAUCUGGUUAAUUAUCUCCUGAAAAACAAAAGCCUUUCAAAUUUGGGUUUUAUUGAUUUGACGUUAACAAAGGUUCCUAUUUUUUCUUAAUAGAGAGCUUAGCAAAUGAUCAUCGUAUAGCGUUUUGGUACAAAUAUUAGAAUUGAAUUUUGUGUGAAAAAAGAGAAAAAAAAAUGGAAUUGAAUUUUGUACUUUUGCAGAAGCAAAAACUUAACACGUGACGUGGGUGAAUCGAGAGUCUCCGAGGGAGCCUUAUCCGAUCAAUUACUGUCUCACUCAUUCUCCAUCUGCUCGAUGAAGAUGUCUUGCUUGGUCUCAUUAACUUGCUCGUUCGUCCCCUUCGACACAAGUCUGACUCGGCCAACUCAUUCCAUCAUUAUCUCAUCUCCUAUUGUCAACAAGGAGUCUUAUUGUACAAGCUGCGUGGACUCGAAGAUCACGCGGUGAAGCAGCGAAAAGACCCAACAGGGAGUCAUGGAAGCAAAGAACAGACACGCACAUGAGACCUUUCCUGCUCAAUGUCUUCUUCUACAGGAAGUUCAUUCAUGCCAAAGUGAUGCAUAGGCCAACAAGAAAAGUCAUUUCAGUUGCCACCACAAAUGCAAGAAAUAUAAGGACUAAUAUACCGUAGGCUCAUAGCUGAGCGUUCAAUGGAAGCAGACGAGUAUGAUGUGUCUUAUAAGCCAAGAAAGGGUGAAAGAAUUGAAGGGAAGCUAGGGAUUGUAUUGAUACCAUUAAGGAACAUGGCACUGUUUUUGUUCCUUGAUUCUUUGUUGCAAAACAUUUGUGUUACCAAGAAAGGUUUGUGUUUUGUUUCCUUAAUGUUCAUACCCAAACUCGUCAGGUACUUCAUCCUUCGAAACCCUAAACUCAGGAUAGUUGAAAGUUUUCAAAAAAGAAUCAUUUAUGUAUGUACCAAAGUCAAGACUUGGCAUUCGAUAGAUUAUAGUUAACUGUAAGAGUCUUCUUAAAGCUGUUAUCUUCAUAGGAAAGAAAAAUAAAAAACAAGCUAGGCUUACAGAAACUGUAAGCUCCAACUCGUGUUCUGAGAAAUCAACUCCAUAAUUCUCAUAUAUGAUUUUUAGAAAAUCCUCAUAUAUGAAUUUUAGAAAAUCCUCAUAUCUAGUUUCUUCGGCCGCAAGUAAUUUACUAUCUUGAUCAUUAUACACUUCAAAUAACCAUUUCUUUCUUUCAAAUUUUCACUUUCCACAGACGAAAAUAAUGUGAUCCAUAUUUUCCAAGUAAUAAAGAUUGCAAACAAGUGAUUAAACCACCAUGAAAAGGGACAAAUUGAUAAGGAAGAAAAGAUGGAUGAAAGAGAUGACGACAAUUACCAAAAAUUUAUCUAAUUACGAUUGUAAUUAACCUAAAAAUAAACCAUAUUCGAAAAUAAUAUAAACCGGGUCGAAAUUGAACAUUAAACUAAGUGUGGUUUACUUAAACUCAUAUUUCCGUCAACAAAUCUGCAACAACAUAAAUUAAAAAGUCUGUGACCACAUAAAAAAAAGUCUACCAACUAUUUUAAGUCGGAUAUAUAACUCUGCCAUAAGAAAACAAGUCGAAUGUAAGAAAAUAAAUCGGUUCAUAAGAAAAUAAGUUGACCACAAAAAUUUACCAUUUAUAACAAAUUUGCUAUCUCAUUCGCCAGACAUAUUAUAAAAAAUCUGUUUUAUAUUCAAAUCGGACGAUUAACUCUGCCGUGGAAACAAAUUUGACGUUUCUACGAAAGUCUGACACCACUUUAACGGUGGAUUUAUUUUUCUAAAUAGAUUUUAUAAACAGACUUAUUACUCGAUAGAUUUAUUUUUUUUAAAAUAAAUCUACCGCCGACAAAUGCUAAGGGUACUUCGGUAAUUUUCUUUUUUGUUAUAACUAUGAGCAAGGACAAUUUUGACCAGAAAAAUAUUCUAAUAAUUUUCAAAAAAUAUGAGUCAUUCUAGUAAUAACACAAUAAAUUUGUGUCAUUUUAGUAAACUUCCCUUCUUUUAUUUUCUUUUUUGGAUUUUUGAAUACAAAUGUCAUUAUUAUCUCCGAUUAGGGAUCUAAUAUUAUUAUCUCCGAUUAGGGAUCUAAUAUAUAUAGUGAGCUUUGGGAGUAGCUAGGGAACACGAGAGGAGAUAGGACCUUUCUUUCAGAAACACCAUUUUUUUUCUCGUUGUCUCUGUCAAAUAAGGUAGGUGUGGGAGCAGCUUGGAACACUGCCAAUGUGAAGGAAGGAACAACCACUGCUGUCUUUGGAUUGGGUUCUGUUGGACUCGCUGUUGCUGAAGGUGCAAGAGCAAGAGGAGUUUCUAGGAUCAUUGGUGUUGACGCUAAUGCUUCCAAAUUUGAGAAAGGUAAACUGGGUAUAACAGAUUUCGUAAACCCUAAAGACUUAACAAAGCCAGUACAUGAGAGGAUUCGAGAGCUAAUGAGUGGAGGCGUGGACUAUAGCUUCGAAUGUACAGGAAACGUCGAUGUUCUUCGCGAACCUUUUUAUCCACUCAAGCAGGUUGGGGAUCGACGGUGCUUGUAGGAAUUUAUCCGACACCAAAAACAUUGCCUCUUCAUCCAAUGGAACUUUUCGACGACCGCACAAUCACCGGUUCUAUAUUCGGUGGUUUCAAGCCCAAAUCUCAGCUUCCAAAUUUUGCUCAACAAUGCAUGAAAGGGGUUGUGAAAUUAGAACCUUUUAUUACGAAUGAGCUUCCAUUUGAGAAGAUAAACGAUGUGUUUCAGCUGCUUCGCGAUGAAAAAUCUCUUCGUUGUGUUCUCCAAAUCUCUAAAUUUCUCAAGAAAUGAUUCUACGUAUCUUCCCAAAGUUUACUAUUAUAUAAUCAACAAACACUUCUAUUUGUAUCAUUUAUUUUUUUAUCAUAAAUUUAUGAAUAUCAUCAGUAGUCCGAUGAUAUAAACAUUAUUUGUGCUCAGUUAUUAGUUAAUUUGAUUAAACUCAAAUGA